UUACCAUCUAUGAAGGGAAGAGUAGCAAGGGAGAGCCUUGAAGAGAGAGGAUGCCGCGGCUGAAAGCAUCCUUAAGGAAUCCCCUGGCCAAAGACAUCCCUGAGAUUCCCGGUUGAAAGGUGAGUAGGCCGGGACGCCGGCAGGCGUUAUUGCUUCAUGAGGAGGGAGCGUUUGCUCCAAUUCGGGUGGCACCGCGGGAGUAGGAACCAAUCUCUCGUCCCUGAC
rnacentral:ncRNA from 2 species